AGAGUUUGAUCCUGGCUCAGAACGAACGCUGGCGGCGUGCUUAACACAUGCAAGUCGAACGUGAAAGGGGCUUCGGCCCUGAGUAAAGUGGCGCACGGGUGAGUAACACGUGGAUAAUCUACCCGAUGGACCGGGAUAACACUUCGAAAGGGGUGCUAAUACCGGAUAAGCCCACAGGCUCUUUGGAGCCUGCGGGAAAA
rnacentral:rRNA from 1 species